UUUAAGUGUAACUAUAAGUUUACACGUCUAAUUUUGAUCGUCCGUUUUAUUUAAAAUAUUUUUACAAUUAGUAUUUUUGUUGUUAUGAGAUGAUAAAACAUGAAUAGUACUUUACUCGUGACUUAUAUUUUUAAUUUUUUUCAAAUAAGACGAACGAUCGAAGUUGGGCGCGGAAAACCAUGGCUGCACUUAAA
rfam:Oryza glumipatula chromosome 7, whole genome shotgun sequence.